rnacentral:tRNA from 1 species
GGGUCAUUAGCUCAGCUGGCAGAGCACCUGACUCUUAAUCAGGAUGUCGCAGGUUCGAAUCCUGCAUGACCCACCA